rnacentral:rRNA from 1 species
CGGAUUGUAGGCUGCCAACCCGCCUACAUGAAGUUGGAAUUGCUAGUAAUCGCAGAUCAGAAUGCUGCGGUGAAUACGUUCCCGGGCCUUGUACACACCGCCCGUCACACCAUGGGAGCCGGUAAUACCCGAAGUCAGUAGUCUAACCGCAAGGGGGACGCUGCCGAAGGUAGGAUUGGCGACUGGGGUGAAGUCGUAACAAGGUAAC